rnacentral:rRNA from 1 species
UACGUAGGGUGCGAGCGUUAAUCGGAAUUACUGGGCGUAAAGCGUGCGCAGGCGGUUUUGUAAGCCAGAUGUGAAAUCCCCGGGCUUAACCUGGGAAUGGCAUUUGGGACUGCAAGGCUGGAGUGUGGCAGAGGAGACUGGAAUUCCUGGUGUAGCAGUGAAAUGCGCAGAUAUCAGGAGGAACACCGGUGGCGAAGGCGGGUCUCUGGGCCGUAACUGACGCUGAGGAGCGAAAGCGUGGGGAGCGAACAGG